GCCGGGAUGGUCUAAUCGGUUAAGGCGUCGCCCCGGACAGGCGAAGGUUGCGGGUACAAUCCCCGCUUCUGGCC
rnacentral:tRNA from 1 species